rnacentral:rRNA from 1 species
GUUAGGAAUAUUGGACAAUGGGCGCAAGCCUGAUCCAGCCAUGCCGCGUGAGUGAUGAAGGCCUUCGGGUUGUAAAGCUCUUUAGCCGAUGAUUAUAAUGACUGUAGUCGGAAAAUAAGCCCCGACUAACUUCGUGCCAGCAGCCGCGGUAAUACGAAGGGGGCGAGCGUUAUUCGGAAUCACUGGGCGUAAAGCGUGCGUAGGCGGUUUUGUAAGUUAGGAGUGAAAGCCCAGGGCUCAACCCUGGAAUUGCUCUUAAAACUACAAGGCUAGAAUGUCGGAGAGGAUAGCGGAAUUUCCAGUGUAGCAGUGAAAUGCGUAGAUAUUGGAAGGAACACCAGUGGCGUAAGCGGCUAUCUGGACGACUAUUGACGCUGAGGCACGAAAGCGUGGGGAUCAAACAGGAUUAGAAACCCCAGUAGUCC